GAUAUUCAUCAGUGGAACCAUCCUUUCAGCGGCACAAUCUCGUGCUUUGUAAACGGAGGAGAUUAUUUGGGGGAGUUAAGAUGUAACCAGGAGCUGGUAGAGAUUAAAAAAGAAAGAAAAAACAGUCCGUCUCCGCGUAAGGAACACACACAGGGAUAGACGGAGAAGGGAAUGCGAGAUCACGAAGUCAACGGUUCGGAUCGUCAUAUCAUCUGAUUGGAAAACGGACUCAACUGGAAGAAGCGGCACAGCGAGGUCUUUGCUCGGGUUUCUUUCCUCUGCCUUCAAAUAAGUCAAUGAUGGGAUUGUCAAACAUAGUGAUUUGGAACAAAAAUCGUUUUUUACGACGCGCGCAUAAAGAAGAGCAUGGAUUAUUCCCGACACACAUACAGCUGGCAGUUCUUCAUGCGUAAAUGGCGAGAGAGGGAAACUGACUGAAGUACUGAGCAAUAUAGUGGAGAACCGGGAGAGAGAAAGAGGAACGCACGACAGAGAGAGAGAGAGAGCGAGGAGAGGGAGCGAAGGGAGAGAGAAAGGGAGGGAAUACGAGAGAGAGAGAGAGAGACAGAGAGAGAGAGAGAGAGAGAGAGCGACUGCAAGGCGACUUGGUUGACAGUAUUUGCUUCUGCCUCCCCAGCGGUGGGAGAGAUGUGCGUAACAUGCAGCGGAGAGCGGUGACCAUCCUCUGCGCGCCGCCUCGCCGUGGACCGCCGUGCGCACUCAAAGACCGAGAAGCACCCAGGGCGCAGCCCGCUCGGCCGAGCCUGUCGGGCAGAUGUCAGCCCGUCAGAUCCCGAUCGGGGGUUAAUCUCCGUGCCGCUUGGAGCCACUCCGACGCACCGGCGCCGAAUCGAGAGCGCGUCUCCUUCCGUUUUGUUUAUUGAUGUCGUUUAAGGAAUCCCAGCCCUCGUUCUUUUUGAUUCAAACCGGACUACCAAGUACAGAUUUCGCGUGAAAGGGACGAAUGUUGAAUUGCACGGCCAACAGAGUAUGAGUCAGCGGGUGUCUGCGAGCUGAGCUGGAGUGUGAGUCCCCCCCGCUGCACGGCCGCCUCGGUCCGCCACAGACCUUCCCACGCCAGGAUGCAGCUGCUCAGAGUUGCGUGGGCACUGACCGGAGCAGCGAUCUGCUGCUUUCUGCUUCUCCUAAUUCAUUCCCGUCUGCUCAAAGAAGGCCAGCUGGCAGCGGGGACUUGUGAGAUUGUGACGCUGGACAGGGACAGCAGCCAACCACGGCGGACCAUCGCCAGGCAGACGGCCCGCUGCGCCUGUAAGAAGGGGCAGAUUGCUGGAACUACAAGAGCCAGACCUGCCUGUGUGGACGCUGGUAUUGUUCGGAAAAAGCAGUGGUGUGAGAUGGUGCCAUGUUUGGAGGACGAAGGCUGUGACCUGUUAGUCAAUAAAUCUGGCUGGACUUGUACACAGCCCGGAGGCCGAGUCAAAACCACCACGGCUCUAUGACGCGACAAGAGUCCCCCUCGACACUCUUGCACUAUGGAGAGCAUUGAUGACCCUUUGACAGACAGCCAAAAAACAUCUGCCAACAACACCCUCCCACCACCACCACCACCAACAUCACAACAGCUCCACCAGAACCCUGGUCCAGCAAAGGCAGGAAGCAACACAAGCAGCUACAGAGCAACAAGAGCCUCAUUGCGGGAGCAAGGUCUAAUGACACAACCAGAGAUGGUAAAACCAGGAAUUGACUGUUGGAGGGAGCAAGCUUUCCCCCGGACACUGGACAAACUACCAGUUGUAAAACAAAUUUCCAUUUCCUGUGACAAGCCCCUCCGGGUUCCCGACUGCUGCCACCUGCUAUCCGUCAUUGGGUCCAAAUGUUGCGUCCACCUCCUCUCCACAACAUCCGCCUGCUCUGUGAAAUUCGCAGUGCCUGCUCUUCUCGUGGCGGAUUGGACACUUUGAAUCCCAAGAAGGCUUUUUGCCUCAUUGGGAGUACUUUGUUUGAAACCGCUAACUGCUUUGAAAGGGGGAUUUCUCCACCACCUUCUCCCGGCCCACAGAGCAGGAGUUCCAGAGCAAAGGUGGGAUCAUGCCGGGACCCCGUUGCUCCUCGGACCACCUCGUGCGGCCGUCAGCAAACAAUCUGAGCGCUCUCCGCUGUGAAUAGGCCUUCUGCUGGAGUAAACCUCCCAUAUUUUUAUAGACCAAAGAACAAAACAACAAAUACAAACAGUAAAAGUGGACCAUGUGGCACAGAGACACAGAGACUUUGUGAACUUGCUUUUACUGUUGCCACCGAUUAAUGACCCGACAGAGACAUGGUGCACAAAUGGGCAAAAUGCAAACAGCAAGUGGCCUCCGGUGCCACGUGUACUGGACACGAUCAAAGGAGUACUUUUAAAAAUUUCCAGACCUUUUUUUUCGCAGACUUAGCCCACCACUGUAUUUCGGAACUGGAGAUAUAGGAACUACAUGCGUAUAACUGUGUAUGAACAAAAAAAAAAAAAAAACUCUGAUUUGCAUUUUUCAGUAGCUACAGUUGGGACAGCUUACAGUAAGCGUUGUGGAGUUGGUCAUGGAUCAGGAGUGCAAAUUGUAUUAAAGAGAUGAUGAAUAUUUACAGAGCGUAUAAAUGCUAUUGAGUCUGAAUUGAAGGGGUAAAGAAAUGUCAUUAAACGUAUUUUGAAAGGCCCUAAAAAGUUAUAUAUUUAACAGUUUUAUAUGUUGUACCUUUGUAGAGAAGCUUCUUGGACUUAAAAUGUGGUCACAAUGGCAGUUUAGAAGGAUGUGAACAAAUGCUGUUGUUCCCAUUACUGCUAGCUCGUAGUCCCAGGUUUUCUGUUCACACCUCAGUAGCUGCUUUCUUUUCAUGAUCAUCUACAAGUCACUGUCUGUCAGAACCAUUGAUGAAAAAAAAGGAAAUGUCAAUGAGGACUGAUCUGCAGCCAAGUGAACAUUGUAAAUCUAUGGUAGUCAGUGGAAGCCAUUGAAAUCUGCUAAUUUGCUAUGAUAUUGUAUUGUACACGGUGUGGAAUACUGACUCAUUUCCUCUCUAUGG